rnacentral:rRNA from 1 species
AGAGUUUGAUCCUGGCUCAGGAUGAACGCUAGCGGCAGGCCUAACACAUGCAAGUCGAGGGGCAUCGGGGGUAGCAAUACCCGCCGGCGACCGGCGCACGGGUGAGUAACGCGUAUGCAACCUGCCCUUCACAGGGGGAUAGCCCGCCGAAAGGCGGAUUAAUACCCCACGGCCCCGCGCCCCGGCAUCGGGAAGCGGGUAAAGGAGCGAUCCGGUGAAGGAUGGGCAUGCGUGCCAUUAGCUAGUUGGUGAGGUAAUGGCUCACCAAGGCGACGAUCCGUAACUGGUCUGAGAGGAUGAUCAGUCACACUGGAACUGAGACACGGUCCAGACUCCUACGGGAGGCAGCAGUGGGGAAUAUUGGACAAUGGGCGAAAGCCUGAUCCAGCCAUGCCGCGUGUGUGAAGAAGGUCUUCGGAUUGUAAAGCACUUUAAGUUGGGAGGAAGGGUAGUAACUUAAUACGUUGCUACUUUGACGUUACCGACAGAAUAAGCACCGGCUAACUUCGUGCCAGCAGCCGCGGUAAUACGAAGGGUGCAAGCGUUAAUCGGAAUUACUGGGCGUAAAGCGCGCGUAGGUGGUUCAGUAAGUUGGAAGUGAAAUCCCCGGGCUCAACCUGGGAACUGCUUUCAAAACUGCUGAGCUAGAGUACGGUAGAGGGUGGUGGAAUUUCCUGUGUAGCGGUGAAAUGCGUAGAUAUAGGAAGGAACACCAGUGGCGAAGGCGACCACCUGGACUGAUACUGACACUGAGGUGCGAAAGCGUGGGGAGCAAACAGGAUUAGAUACCCUGGUAGUCC